AAUGAACGCUGGCGGCGUGCCUAAUACAUGCAAGUCGAGCGAACAGAUAAGGAGCUUGCUCCUUUGACGUUAGCGGCGGACGGGUGAGUAACACGUGGGUAACCUACCUAUAAGACUGGAAUAACUCCGGGAAACCGGGGCUAAUGCCGGAUAACAUUUAGAACCGCAUGGUUCUAAAGUGAAAGAUGGUUUUGCUAUCACUUAUAGAUGGACCCGCGCCGUAUUAGCUAGUUGGUAAGGUAACGGCUUACCAAGGCAACGAUACGUAGCCGACCUGAGAGGGUGAUCGGCCACACUGGAACUGAGACACGGUCCAGACUCCUACGGGAGGCAGCAGUAGGGAAUCUUCCGCAAUGGGCGAAAGCCUGACGGAGCAACGCCGCGUGAGUGAUGAAGGUCUUCGGAUCGUAAAACUCUGUUAUUAGGGAAGAACAAAUGUGUAAGUAACUGUGCACGUCUUGACGGUACCUAAUCAGAAAGCCACGGCUAACUACGUG
rnacentral:rRNA from 1 species